UCUCUUCUUCUCUCCCAACAUCUGGCUUGCCUUGGUGAUGGAAAAGGUAUCGCUGAUCUCUUCAGAUGGCGAACAGUUUUACGUGUCCUUGUCAGAAGCUAUUCUGAAUAGAGAGGUCAUCAAGGAGGAUGCCCGAUAUUUACCUCCAGACUUCCUAGAAUUGCUUGUGAAAGUUUCCCCAUCAUAUAUAGUCUUGGACCAAGAAUCUUCAAAGCAAAGAUCCUGAAGCUGUGCCAGCAGGCCCUGUUUUGUAGUUUUCUGAACACUUCUGAUCUUCACAAGUGUUGAAUUCAGAAAUUCUCCUGGAACAAU